rnacentral:rRNA from 1 species
UACGUAGGGGGCAAGCGUUGUCCGGAAUCAUUGGGCGUAAAGAGCGUGUAGGCGGUCCGGUAAGUCGGCUGUGAAAGUCCAGGGCUCAACCCUGGGAUGCCGGUCGAUACUGCCGGACUAGAGUUCGGAAGAGGCGAGUGGAAUUCCCGGUGUAGCGGUGAAAUGCGCAGAUAUCGGGAGGAACACCUAUGGCGAAGGCAGCUCGCUGGGACGUUACUGACGCUGGAGACGCGAAAAGCGUGGGGGAGCAAACAGG